AGCUCAGAGAUGAGGGAGUAUUUUUGACUUAAUCCACUAAUGAGCUUUGACCAAUUUUGACUUCCAAUCAUCUUCCCAAUUCCUCUUCCGGGUCGUCUUCCCCUAUUGUUUCAUGGAACUGAUUGAACGGUAUGAACCUUUGAAUGCACAAGAGUUAUGGACUGAACUAUCACAUUGGAGGGAGGAUCGUGUGGAGGAAGAGUUUGUGUACUUAGAACACAACCUCUCCCAGUAUUUUAGCAAAACACUCAAAAAUCCCCCGAAUGACCCCGACGGUACUGAGUUAUUUGGGGAAACCGUGAAUCUUGAAUGGAAGAGUUCGAGUCCUUUUGAAGUGUUUAUGGAUGAGGAGCCGGGUGGUAAUUCCGAUGAUCCUGUCGUCCUUGAAAAUCUGAAGGAAAAAAUUUCGACAUUCAACCAUCGGAGAACUUACUAGUUACUAUGUACUUGUGGAACAACAGAAAAAAUACAUAAGUAGAUUUCUGUCUAAAUUGGGAAUCAAAAAUAUCCCAAAGGAUUCGUUCCAUACGUAUUUUAACAAAAACAUAGUUUCAGAGAUUAAGCAGACUAACAGAGGAUUCAACAUGCUAUUCACUGCGAGAAAGGGCUCCUAUGGAUUUUGCUUUGGUUGAAGACAAGUCAGCUUACCGACGUCACCACAGAUUCAUUUGGAGUACUCUCGAUUCUCUGGUAAGGUCCAGAGCAAUUGAUGAUUCUAUUAGGACAGAUGUAUUCCUAGCCAUCGAAUGUAGGGCUGACGUAGAAGGUACAUUGGGAGGCUACCCUGAAGUUCUUCUUAGAUAUGGCUUCAAGUUGAGUUGGGGUUCAAUAGACGCUCGAAAGUCCUUUCUAGAAGAAAUUGACACAACAAUGUAUACUCCCCAAAUGUGCAACUUAAUUUGGAAUGAGUUUGGGCUAUACGACAAAGCCAUCCACUUUAGAAAUGCACUCUUGAAAAAAAGGUUUUACAAGCAUGUCAAAAAUAGCAGAUUGAAUAUACCUACCAAUCGUAAGUUGCAAAAACACUUCCGAACCUAUGUUACUUACAUAAAGCAGCGGGACCGAACUAAGAAAAGCAUGUCAGACAAGGAUCUCCAAUAUUUUUUUAUGGCUCUCCCAGCAGACAUUCAGACAUCAUUUAAGUCUCAUUGCACAAAAUAUUGUUCAGCAUUUCGAGACUUCAUUAAUCAGACAAUGGUAACCCAUGCACAGUAUUUGUCUUGAGUGGUCAAAACUGCCAAUCGUGCCGUACGAGAUAAUGAGGCUCUGGGUGGGAAUGAGAACGAGAACGAGGAGGAUAAUGAGGGGAAUGAGAACGAGGAGGAUAAUGAGACUGAGAGUGAGUUCGGGAAUGAGAAUGAGGAGGAUAAUGAGACUGAGAGUGAGUCCGGGAAUGAGAACGAUGAGGCUGGUCCAGAGGCUGAUCCGACUGGUCUGGAAACUGAUCAAGAGGCUUAUUCAGAUGAUGUCUAAUAUUAGAGCUGGAGAAACAACUUUUCAUUCAAGGUAACAAAAGAAGCAAAAGAGAAUGCAUCUAUAGAUUCAUUUGGCAAAAACAUGGUGAAGGUGCUUCCCCUGUAGACAUGGAUGAAAAUGAUUUUACCGUUGUGGCUGAAUUGAU